CAUUGUUUAAACGGAGAAAUAAAAUCAGGUAAAUGUUUAAAUUGUAAUUUCGGUUUUUAAUUUUCCCAAGCUAGUUCUUGAGCAGCUGGUUGCUAGGCAACCCAUAACCGGUGGCGAGUUCUGUCAGGGUUUUUUGCGCAUUAAUAUGUAAAUUGGCCAACUGUGAGUAAAGCGGUUCACAUGUUUUUAGACACAAACACAUUAAUUUAUUUUAAUUUAUUCUUCAUAAGUACAUCACUCUUUUUUUGUUUUUAGACAAGAAAGAGACAUUUUACAUCCACAUAAUUAUAAUAUCUUUUUUCUUCUUCUUUUUUUUUUCGAUCGGCAUUUAUUUAAGGUAGGUGAGAAAGUAGACCCACACGUUUGUUUUUCCGCCAUUGAUUGAACCUUUUAAACGUGACACAGUCUUUGCAACAUUAAACUAGUUCAGUGAAGACAACAUUGAGCUACACCCUCUCAGGUUACAUCUAAGCUAGCUCUGAGGCAUACGGUUCUCCCCCCCCCCCCUCACCGCCCCUCUACCGUCGGCUCCCCAUCAUAUUCCCUCUGUCUGUUUCCCUGAGUCAUUGCGCUGCACCGGCGGUCUCCUGUGUGGCUUACAGCGGCUCUCUGGCUCCUGUCGCUCCCUCUGAUGAAAACACUCGACGACGUUUGACAUGACUGAAGUGGCUCCAAGCUGCCCUGAGAUGACAGCGCUGGCCCCUCCUCCUGCACCGCUGAUUUCCAGUAGGAAUGCAUCUCCUGCUCGAUCACCAUCCAGUCACAACAGCACGACAGAGAUUUCCGAGGUGCUGCGGGAUAAGACCCGCCGUGCGCAGCAGCAGCUGGAUCGCAGCGCCGAGGAGCGAGGGAGGAAGAUGGACGUGCAGAAGAGGAAGGAGCAGCAGCGCCGGGUGGCAGCCGGGGAGAAGAGACGGCAGCAGCAAGAGGCAGAGAAGGUCAGAGGUCACCGCACACUAAUGAUGCAUUCACUGCACGUUAGAAGAUUUUUGUUAUUAUACUUAUAUGUUUGUGGGGGUUUAUGUGACUGUAGGCUGGAUGAUAUGGUUAAAAGCAAUAUCACAAUAUUAAUACACAUGUUUUUCAGAUAUGAAUAUACAGUGUAUAUAUAUAUCUUUAUUAGGGAAAUAUUUGUGAUAUAACAUUAAAAUAAUAUAAAUGAUGUUCCAUUAAAGAAAAUCUAUAAAUCUAAAUCUUAAAUCUUAUUUAUUCUAAUCACAAUUUGUUUGAUUUGUUGUUAAAAGUUUACAUGAUAUCAUCAUAUAAUAACAUUAUGAUCAGAUAUGGCAGCUCAUAUAUACAUGAUUUAAAAAAGAGACAUGAAUGCAUCAUGACCUGCGUCUAC
rnacentral:lncRNA from 1 species